AAGCACGCCUGCCUGUCCGAGCCUCUUAACAGGAAAAUGAAAAUCCCAGAGCUGCGACCGGCUGAUAAAGUCUUCUUGGAACAGAUUUGCUUAUGCAGGCGACGCAGGAACUUAUCGCAAACAAAAGGCAACUUUGAUAUCCAAAAAGCACCAAAAUGAAAAUCCUAACAGAGAAAAGAACAAAAGCCAGACGGGUGCAACAGGGACGCUCCGAGAGGGGAAAGCAGAAGGUAGGCUCAGCCACGACGUGUCUGAUUCAGGGAAAAAAAAAAAAAAA